ensembl:snRNA U5 U5 spliceosomal RNA
CAACUCUGGUUUCUCUUCGAUCACGCACAAGUUUUUCGCCUUUUACUAAAGACUUCCGUGAAGAGCAACGCUUAUGAGUUCAACGUAUUUUUGGACGGGCUUUGCUCCCGGCAGAGCC